GCAGCUAUCAAAUUUAAUUAAAAUAAAAUUUUUAUUAAAUGACUUAUAAUAAGAUUCAUUUAUAUUCAUUACAUUAAAUAAUUCCACUACAAACAAUAGUAUAUAAACUCUAUUAAAAUCUAAAUAUACCUAAACUCUAUUUAAAUAUACAACCAAUAACAACAUCUACAUUGAAUCUCAUUACAUGAAUCUUGACAAUAUCUUGUCUAAGCUUCCUAGUAUCAUUCCCAUAUACUUAAAAAUGCAAUC
rnacentral:lncRNA from 1 species